rnacentral:rRNA from 1 species
GAGAGAUGUGUGAUGACGCAUAUCAAUAAGCGGAGGAAAAGAAACUAACAAGGAUUCCCCUAGUAACGGCGAGUGAAGCGGGAAGAGCUCAAAUUUGAAAUCUUAAAGGGUUUCCCUUUACGAAUUGUAGUUUAAAGAAGUGUUUUCUGUUGGAGUUUCGGUAAAAGUUCUUUGGAGUAGGACAUCAUAGAGGGUGAGAAUCCCGUAUUUGACCGUUACUUUCCAGCUGUGUGAUACACUUUCAAAGAGUCGGAUUGUUUGGGAAUGCAGUCCAAGAUGGGUGGUAAAUUUCAUCUAAAGCUAAAUAUUGGCGAGAGACCGAUAGCGAACAAGUACCGUGAGGGAAAGAUGAAAAGAACUUUGAAAAGAGAGUUAAACAGUACGUGAAAUUGUCAAAAGGGAAGCGUUUGACACCAGUGUUGUUUAGUUGAAAAUCAAUUCAAUAGUUUUUGAUUCUAAGUAGUAUUGACUUCAUCAGCUUGCUGCUUUCUUCUCAGAAAUUAUUGAAUGCAGCUUUUCAGUUAACAAGUCAACAUCAAUUUCUUUUGUUGUAAAAGGGUAAUGAGGAAGGUGGCUUGCGCUUUCGGAUCAAGUGUUUAUAGCCUUGUAUCCUCUGCUAAUCGGAGAGAUUGAGGUCUGCAGCGUAGAUCCUUCGGGGUUAGAUAGCAUUUGUGCUAAGUUAUAGCCUUUCAUAGACAACUUGCUGACUAUGAUUAGUCAUUGUAGCUUACUCGCUUAUGCUAUUUUACCUACGCUUAGGAUGUUGAAGAUGUAGCACAUCAU